rnacentral:misc_RNA from 1 species
GAUGAGAACGCAGCGAAAUGCGAUAAGUAAUGUGAAUUGCAGAAUUCAGUGAAUCAUCGAAUCUUUGAACGCACAUUGCGCCCGCCAGUAUUCUGGCGGGCAUGCCUGUCUGAGCGUCAUUUCAACCCUCAUGCCCCUAGGGCGUGGUGUUGGGGAUCGGCCAAAGCCCGCGAGGGACGGCCGGCCCCUAAAUCUAGUGGCGGACCCGUCGUGGCCUCCUCUGCGAAGUAGUGAUAUUCCGCAUCGGAGAGCGAUGAGCCCCUGCCGUUAAACCCCCAACUUUCCAAGGUUGACCUCAGAUCAGGUAGGAAUACCCGCUGAUCUUAAGCAUAUCAAUAAGCGGAGGA